rnacentral:rRNA from 1 species
AACGAACGCUGGCGGCAGGCCUAACACAUGCAAGUCGAACGCUCGUAGCAAUACGGGAGUGGCAGACGGGUGCGUAACACGUGGGAACAUACCCUUUGGUUCGGAAUAACUCAGGGAAACUUGAGCUAAUACCGGAUACGCCCGAGAGGGGAAAGAUUUAUUGCCGAAGGAUUGGCCCGCGUCUGAUUAGCUAGUUGGUGAGGUAACGGCUCACCAAGGCGACGAUCAGUAGCUGGUCUGAGAGGAUGAUCAGCCACACUGGGACUGAGACACGGCCCAGACUCCUACGGGAGGCAGCAGUGGGGAAUAUUGGACAAUGGGCGCAAGCCUGAUCCAGCCAUGCCGCGUGAGUGAUGACGGCCUUAGGGUUGUAAAGCUCUUUUACCCGGGAAGAUAAUGACGGUACCGGGAGAAUAAGCCCCGGCUAACUUCGUG